rnacentral:rRNA from 1 species
UACGUAGGGUGCGAGCGUUAAUCGGAAUUACUGGGCGUAAAGUGUGCGCAGGUGGCCGCGCAAGUCGAGUGUGAAAUCCCCGAGCUUAACUUGGGAAUUGCGCUCGAAACUACGUGGCUCGAGUGUGGCAGAGGAAGGUGGAAUUCCACGUGUAGCGGUGAAAUGCGUAGAGAUGUGGAGGAACACCGAUGGCGAAGGCAGCCUUCUGGGCCAACACUGACGCUGAGGCGCGAAAGCUAGGGGAGCAAACGGG